UGGGAACGUGCCCAAAGGUACGGAACAACUCCGGGAAACUGGAGCUAAUGCCGUAUGUGCCCGAAAGGGGAAAGAUUCAUCGCCUUUGGAUCGGCCCGCGUCUGAUUAGCUAGUUGGCGGGUAAUGGCCCAUCAAGGCGACGAUCAGUAGCUGGUCUGAGAGGGCGACCGGCCACACUGGGACUGAGACACGGCCCAGACUCCGUACGGGAGCAG
rnacentral:rRNA from 1 species